rnacentral:misc_RNA from 1 species
UUGCCUUCAUAUGGAUAUGGGAGAGAGCAUCCUGGACCUCGCUAUGGGAGUUUAAUCCAUGGUCAAAAUCUCAAAGAUGUUGUUAUAACAGGACACAAUGGUACCAUAAAUGGACAGGGUCAAACAUGGUGGAAAAAGUAUCGUCAAAAGCUUCUCAACCACACAAGGGGGCCCCUUGUACAAAUUAUGUGGUCAAGUGACAUUCUGAUCACUAAUAUAACAUUGAGGGAUUC